GUAUAGGUAACGAGGAAAAACAUCAAUUUUGUAAUCAAAAUCUUAUCGUGUAGCAUAACUAUUCAAUUUGAUCGCUUUUGCCAAAUGUUAUAUACCAGACAGUGCAUACAAGAAAAUUUAACUUAACAAAACGAAAUUCAUUACAAUUUGGUAACCAUUUGAGCGUUUAGAAGUGUCAUCGCCGUGGUAUAGGUUUUUUUUUUGAUGUGAAAGAAAAUGCAAAUAAAUAUUUGUCAAGUCAACAUAAAAAUAGUUAAAAGCAAAAUAUAAACAAAAUGUCGAUCCGGCUGAGGGUACUAGGCUUUCUGGAUGUUAUCCUGCGUGUGCCACCGUUAUUUGUGAUCGACGAAAUAUUAAAAAUUAGUAUGGGUUUGGGCCAUUUAACCUUUGAAGAUGAGAGAAGAAAUUAUACAACAAAUGUAAUAACAUCAGCUAAUGGAACAGAUGAUAUCGAACGAAUAGAAUCUGAAAUUAAUUACAUUGCGGAUGCUCAUGAAUUUUAUAAGUUCUUGUCAUUGACAACUUUAAAAUUCUUCAUUUGUUUACUCGGUUGUGCUUGUGCAGUAUGCGUUUUUAUGCUAUGGACUCGCCACCUCGCUAUCGUUUACAUGUACAUCUUUUCCGUUGGAUUAAUUUUCCUAUCAUAUUGGAGCAAUAUUUCAGCGAUCAAUCUGAUCACCGAUG